ACGGGUGAGUAACGCGUGGGUAACCUACCCUGUACACACGGAUAACAUACCGAAAGGUAUGCUAAUACGGGAUAAUAUAUUUGAGAGGCAUCUCUUAAAUAUCAAAGGUGAGCCAGUACAGGAUGGACCCGCGUCUGAUUAGCUAGUUGGUAAGGUAACGGCUUACCAAGGCGACGAUCAGUAGCCGACCUGAGAGGGUGAUCGGCCACAUUGGAACUGAGACACGGUCCAAACUCCUACGGGAGGCAGCAGUGGGGAAUAUUGCACAAUGGGCGAAAGCCUGAUGCAGCAACGCCGCGUGAGUGAUGAAGGCCUUCGGGUCGUAAAACUCUGUCCUCAAGGAAGAUAAUGACGGUACUUGAGGAGGAAGCCCCGGCUAACUACGUGCCAGCAGCCGCGGUAAUACGUAGGGGGCUAGCGUUAUCCGGAUUUACUGGGCGUAAAGGGUGCGUAGGCGGUCUUUCAAGUCAGGAGUGAAAGGCUACGGCUCAACCGUAGUAAGCUCUUGAAACUGGGAGACUUGAGUGCAGGAGAGGAGAGUGGAAUUCCUAGUGUAGCGGUGAAAUGCGUAGAUAUUAGGAGGAACACCAGUUGCGAAGGCGGCUCUCUGGACUGUAACUGACGCUGAGGCACGAAAGCGUGGGGAGCAAACAGGAUUAGAUACCCUGGUAGUCCACGCUGUAAC
rnacentral:rRNA from 1 species